UACGUAGGGGGGCGAGCGUUGUCCGGAAUCAUUGGGCGUAAAGAGCGUGUAGGCGGCUUGGCAAGUCUGACGUGAAAGCCCGCGGCUCAACCGCGGAUUGUCGUUGGAAACUGCCUCGCUAGAGUCCGGAAGAGGAGAGCGGAAUUCCUGGUGUAGCGGUGGAAUGCGCAGAUAUCAGGAAGAACACCCGUGGCGAAGGCGGCUCUCUGGGACGGUACUGACGCUGAGACGCGAAAGCGUGGGGAGCGAACAGG
rnacentral:rRNA from 1 species